AUCCAAAUAUGCUCAGUUGGUAGAGCAUGAGACUCUUAAUCUCAGGGUCAUGGGUUCCAUUGGACU